rnacentral:rRNA from 1 species
GAUGAACGCUAGCUACAGGCUUAACACAUGCAAGUCGCGGGGCAGCAUGGGGGUUGCUUGCACUCCCUGAUGGCGACCGGCGCACGGGUGAGUAACGCGUAUCCAACCUGCCCUUCACCACGGGAUAACCCGGCGAAAGUCGGACUAAUACCGUAUGUUGUCCAUUGACGGCCUCCGAUUUGGACGAAAGGCUUAGCGGUGAGGGAUGGGGAUGCGUCCGAUUAGCUGGACGGCGGGGUAACGGCCCACCGUGGCUACGAUCGGUAGGGGUGCGGGGAGGAAGGUCCCCCACACUGGAACUGAGACACGGCCCAGACGCGUACGGGAGGCAGCAGUGAGGAAUAUUGGUCAAUGGGCGUAAGCCUGAACCAGCCAAGUAGCGUGCAGGAUGACGGCCCUAUGGGUUGUAAACUGCUUUUAUGCGGGGAUAAAGGGACCCACGUGUGGGUUUUUGCAGGUACCGCAUGAAUAAGGACCGGCUAAUUCCGUG